AUGUAUAUACCCAAUCAGCAGCGGGCUAUGCAUAUGUCCCGCCUCCUCUGGGGCCCCAGGGACUUUUCCCCAUCACCCUCAGGAAAUGGCACGUGCACAAGACACACUCUGCAGGUAGCAAUCCUGGAGGCAGCUCCUGUACGCUCUCACCUUGGAAGGGUACCUGGACCACUGCUGCUGUUCCUUCCACUCCUACUGACUACUGCCAUUAGCAUUUCCUUUUAUGUUCUGUUCCAGUCACUGUGUAUCUCUUUUGAUUUGCACAAAUCUCUAUAAAGUAGGUUCUAGUGUUUUUCCUGUUAGUCCUACGAGGAUAUCGCUGCUCAGUGAUCCUAACUGACUUGCACGAGGUCACGCAGCUGACCAAGGGCAGAGCUGGGGUGGGACAAAUCUAAAUGUAAGUCAGAAAGCGCUGAGGCUCCCAAUACCCACUGGGGAAAGAAGCCAGUUAGGGCUGUACUCUGCGGAUGAGCUGCGUGUCAUUGCUUUGUCAUGGUUAGCUUCAAGGAUGGCCCGUUUCCCUCGCUGAAAACGCCCCCUGUCUUCUCACCGUCCUCUGGUGGCCUCCCAACUGUCAUCUGGCACACGGAGGCCACAUCACAUCACAGCCCCACCUCAUCUGGCCAACCCCCCUGCCGGAUCCGUCUGGCUUCCAGGCUCCGGCUACAUUUGGGCAAAGCCUUCAGAGAGACCUACUCCCUGGAGGAACUCGCUGAGGGGUUUGCUUGGCAGUUCUGUGUGUGUUUCCUGUCACUUUCACCUGUCUCGUGGAACACAUUGUAAACUAGAAAGCAAAGAACAUGCUCAGUCGAGAAACUCAUCAGUUAUGACUCUGGUUGCCUUGGCGGGUGCAGCACGGUGAGGCACCUGUGACAAGGUAGUCAGACCUCCCUGAGUGUCACUUGGGCACCAUCUGCGGUGGAGGCCUGAGCUUGCAGGGCAGCACCUGAGAGGAGCGCCCAGGAGGCCUGCCUGAGGGAGGAAUGCCUCAGCUGAGCACGUGAGGAUGAAUCAGAGGGGGUAGGUAGAAGACAGCAGGGGCCAGGGGACAGGAGCAGCGUUCCAGGCCGAGGAGACAGCGCACAGCAAAGCCAGAGAGAGCUUGGCGGCUGCAGGAACUGAAAGAAAUCUGCUGAGGCUGGAAUCACCAGGCGCAACAAAGGGAGUAUGGAGGGAUGAAUCUAGAAGGCAACCUGGAAGACUGGAAUCUGGGAGACCAGAGAGAAUCCUCUGACAACAGCCCGGACCAGGGCAGAUGAAGAUCUAUUGAUACCAGCCAGUGGCUAAGUCAAUGGCAUUACUGAAAGUCAACUCUGGACAGCGCAUUGUUGGGAUCGAGAGGGACCCACAGAGAUUGUAGAAGAGAAGGUCUCUUCCAUGAGCUUGGCAGCUGGGAAGAAAAGCCAUUGUUGUGGAAGAAACAUCAAGGCUCAUGGACGGAGAGGUGCAGCUUCUCCCAUGAAACUGGCAUCUGACACUCAUCACUGAAUGAUUUGCUGAAUAAGAUGCCCUUCCUGGCUGAGAACCGGCCUGAGAGAAGGGAGGCUGUGGGAAAAAAACAAAGGAUGACUUUGAAAGAAAGAUCUUGUUGGAAAGUCACAGGAGCUGACCCUUGGGUGCUAAGCCUCGCAGAGGAGAAACUGGGAGGGUGAGUUCCCUUAAACAUCAGUCCCUUGGCGGUAAUUUCUUUACCUUUUUUUGUGUGUUUUUUCUUUUCUUAGUGGGUUCAGAAAAAAUGCUGAGCCCUUACAAUUUCUCUCUAUGGCUACAUUUUAUCUAACUUUAAUAAAAGCGCCGGCAAGCAGAAGUAGGAAUGUCUGUCACACAUACUUCCUGACGUGUACAAUGCUCAUAAAAAAUGUGUUGUUUACUGGAAGCUUCUAACUCAGGGGUGGAUGGUGGGCUGGGGGGAAGGGUCUGGGUAGAGAGUAGGAAAAAGGAAGAACAAUGCCUCUCUAAGUCAAUUCAGACAAUUAACAUUCCACCACGAGGACACCAACUGUCAGGAAAGAUUUCAAUAGAAUGAAUAAUCUUGG